AUUGAACGCUGGCGGCAGGCCUAACACAUGCAAGUCGAGCGAGAGGAGGACGGGUGAGUAAUGUAUGGGGACUGCCCGAUAUAGGGGGAUAACUACGAGAAACGGUGGAUAAUGCCGCAUACUAGCGGAUAACCCAUAUGGGAUUAGCUAGUUGGUGGGGUAAAGGCUCACCUAGGCGACGAGCUCUAGCUGGUCUGAGAGGAUGAUCAGCCACACUGGGACUGAGACACGGCCCAGAUCCCUACGGAGGCAGCAGUGGGGAAUAUUGCACAAUGGGCGCAAGCCUGAUGCAGCCAUGCCGCGUGUAUGAAGAAGGCCUUAGGGUUGUAAAGUACUUUCAGCGGUGAGGCGUUACCCGCAGAAAAAGCACCGGCUAACUCCGUGCCAGCAGCCGCGGUAAUUC
rnacentral:rRNA from 1 species